ACUAAGGUGGCACAGCGGAAGCUUGGUGGGCCCAUAACCCACAGGUCCCAGGAUCGAAACGUGGCUCUGAUA
rnacentral:tRNA from 1 species